rnacentral:rRNA from 1 species
UACGUAGGGGGCAAGCGUUGUUCGGAAUUACUGGGCGUAAAGGGCGCGUAGGCGGCACGGCAAGUCAGGAGUGAAAGGCCUGGGCUCAACCGAGGAACUGCUUUUGAGACUGCCGAGCUCGAGGGAGGUAGGGGUCUGUGGAACUUCCGGUGGAGCGGUGAAAUGCGUUGAUAUCGGAAGGAACGCCGGUGGCGAAAGCGACGGACUGGAUCUCUUCUGACGCUGAGGCGCGAAAGCCAGGGGAGCAAACGGG